GACGAACGCUGGCGGCGUGCUUAACACAUUCAAGUCGUACGGUAAGGCCCUUUCGGGGGUACACGAGUGGCGUACGGGUGAGUAACACGUUAGUAACCUUCCCACACCUUUGGGAUAACGCUAGGAAACUGGUGCUCAUACUGGAUAUGUUCUCCUGCUGCAUGGUGGGGGUUGUAAAGCUCCGGCGGUUGGGGAUGGCCUCGCGGCCUAUCAGCUUGUUGGUGGGGUAGUGGCCUACCAAGGCGGCGACGGGUAGCCGGCCUGAGAGGGUGACCGGCCACAUUGGGACUGAGAUACGGCCCAGACUCCUACGGGAGGCAGCAGUGGGGAAUAUGGCACAAUGGGCGCAAGACUGAUGCAGCAACGCCGCGUGAGGGAUGACGGCCUUCGGGUUGUAAACCGCUUAAAGCAGGGACGAAGCUUUUUGUGACGGUACCUGCAGAAGAAGCAAGGGCUAACUACGUG
rnacentral:rRNA from 1 species